CUAAACUGAGGGAGGUACGUCGAAACUGACCGGCUAGAGGGACGUAGAGGUAAGCGGAACUCUCGGAGUAGCGGUGAAAUGCGUAGAGACCGAGAGGUACCCCGGUGGUGAAGACAGCUUACUGGGCGUCUCCUGACGCUGAAGCGCUAAGGCCAGGGGAGCGAAGGGGAUUAGAUACCCCCGUAGUCCUGGCUUCAAACGAUGUGGGCUUGGUGUCGGCCCCCUAUAGAGGGUCGUUGCCGGAGUUAACGCGUUAAGCCCACCGCCUGGGGAUUACGUCCGCAAGGAUGAAACUCAAGGGAAUUGACGGGGGCCCACACAACCGGUGGAGCACGUGGUUUAAUUCGAUGAUAAGCGAAGAACCUUACCAGGGCUUGACCUAGCGGUAGUAGAACCCCGAAAGGGGAACGACCUCAAGCUUUGCUUGAGGAGUCGU
rnacentral:rRNA from 1 species